AGAGUUUGAUCCUGGCUCAGGACGAACGCUGGCGGCGUGCUUAACACAUGCAAGUCGAGCGGUAAGGCCCUUUCGGGGGUACACGAGCGGCGAACGGGUGAGUAACACGUGAGUAAUCUGCCCUUCACUUCGGGAUAACCACCGGAAACGGUGGCUAAUACCGGAUAUGACCUGUCCCUGCAUGGGGGUGGGUGGAAAGUUCUGGCGGUGAAGGAUGUGCUCGCGGCCUAUCAGCUUGUUGGUGAGGUAAUGGCUCACCAAGGCUUCGACGGGUAGCCGGCCUGAGAGGGUGACCGGCCACACUGGGACUGAGACACGGCCCAGACUCCUACGGGAGGCAGCAGUGGGGAAUAUUGGACAAUGGGCGAAAGCCUGAUCCAGCAACGCCGCGUGAGGGAUGACUGCCUUCGGGUUGUAAACCUCUUUCAGUACCGACGAAGCGAGAGUGACGGUAGGUACAGAAGAAGCACCGGCCAACUACGUGCCAGCAGCCGCGGUAAUACGUAGGGUGCGAGCGUUGUCCGGAAUUAUUGGGCGUAAAGGGCUCGUAGGCGGUUUGUCGCGUCGGGAGUGAAAACUCAGGGCUUAACUCUGAGCUUGCUUCCGAUACGGGCAGACUAGAGGUAUGCAGGGGAGAACGGAAUUCCUGGUGUAGCGGUGAAAUGCGCAGAUAUCAGGAGGAACACCGGUGGCGAAGGCGGUUCUCUGGGCAUUACCUGACGCUGAGGAGCGAAAGUGUGGGGAGCGAACAGGAUUAGAUACCCUGGUAGUCCACACCGUAAACGUUGGGCGCUAGGUGUGGGGUCCAUUCCACGGAUUCCGUGCCGCAGUUAACGCAAUAAGUACCCCGCCUGGGGAGUACGUCGGCAACGAUGAAACUCAAAGGAAUUGACGGGGGCC
rnacentral:rRNA from 1 species